ACCACCAACAACACGAUGAAGAUCCAGUUAAAUGAACCGACAGUUCAGACUCACCGAAUCAAACCCAGAUCCAAAACACUGAGUUGUCGGUGGCGAGUUCACUUCCACCUCUAGUUGGUGAGUCGUGUUGUUCUAAGCAAUUUUCACCAAAAUAUUCAAGAAAGAGGAGCUUGAUUUGCCUUUGAAAUCACAUAGAUCCUUGUUGUCAAUACUGUGAGCAACACCCUAAAUGGAUUUAUUGUUUUAGUUUUCAUUUUGUUCUUUGUAGCAUAUAGUUGUUUAUGGUUUUUGUAUUUUCAAGAAUGUUGCAUCAAAUGCCCUAAAAUUAAGAAAAUUAGUUUGAUUUAGUAUUGGGUAUUUUGAUUUUCUUAUAAAUUUCAGUUAAAUCCAUAAAAAUCCAAACUUUGUCAAAGGGUAUGUUGUUUUAGUUCAUUUUAGCAUUUGGGUCUUGUUGUUCUAAGCAAUAUUUACUAAAUGCCCAAAUAUUCAAGAAAAAGGAGUUUGAUUUAUCAUUGGGUGUUUUGUUUAUUAUCUUCAGCUGAUUUCACAUUCGAACUGAUCAUGAAUCCUGUGGUUAAAAGGAAACAAAUUUUGUUAUCGAGUUAGCAUCUGGCUCUUCUUAUCUUCAGAUCUUUUCACCAAAUGUCUAAGUAUUAAAGAAAAGGAAGUUAAGAUCUUAUCUUGAGAUAUUUUCAUAAUGAUAUCUAUGUCUAAGGAACUAGAUCUUCAUGUGGUGUCAUUGGUGGAAUGAGAAGAUAGAGAGAAGAAAGAGAGAGGAAGGUGGGGUGGGGUGAGAGUAGGGUUGUUAUUUUGUUUUUAUAAAGAAGUGGGUCCUACAAAUAAAUAAUUCUAUUUAAUAGGUUAAGUUAUUUUGUUUUAUAGUAAUGGUAUUUUUGUCAUUUCACAUUCUAUUAACUGAGAAAACUAACUGAUGUUAGGCCUAGGGACUAUCGGGGAACGAAAUUGAAAAAGUUGGGGACUAUAGCUGUAAUUUUAGAAAGUUAGGGACUAAAGAUGAAAAAAUGGCAAACCACAGGGACUAUCCGGGCAUUUAACUCGACUAAAAAUAUUAUUAUUGUUUAAAAGACCAAUUUAUCCUCAUUUUAGGGAUGUAUGUAUAAAUUAAGAGGAAAAAAGUUCUUAUUUUUUUGAGUAUCAUAAAAUGCU
rnacentral:lncRNA from 1 species